rnacentral:lncRNA from 1 species
CUUGGUCUUUUGCAGCCAUUGGUCCCUGGAGUGAAAUAUCGGCUCUUCUUUCUGCUGCUUUCAGACUGGAAUUUAUAUCAUCAGUGCUCUUGAUUCCCAGGCCUGACGUCUCGGACUAGAACUACACAUUGGAUCUCCUGGGUCUCCGGCUUGCCAACUGCAGAUCUUGGAACUUCUCAGCCUCCAUAAUUGCAUGAGUCAAUUUCUUACUAUGUGUGUAUGUGUUGAAGAUGGAAAUUACUACUGUAGAACAUCCAAGAUCUGUGAGUUUCAUUUUCAUUUCUUUUAUUCUAUAUUCCCUGCUUUGAGACAUUUGUAAUAGCAUCAGCAUAUUCAAAAGUUGUUUAGGCUUUAGAAUUUUGCUAAAUUUGACUGUUUGGGUAUAAAUUUAUAUCUAAACUUUCAAAUUAAGUAAAUGGGCAGCCCACUACUUGGUGAGAAGAAGUCAAGUUUAUGAAGCAGGAAUAUUUGUUGUGGUGGUUAUUGUUUUGCGUUAAUUAGUACAAUUAUCUUUUCCUCCUUGCCAUCUUUCUUUGGGACUUGAUACCUAGUACUAUGAGGAUUAGACUACCCACUUGACAGAUUCCUCACACUUAAAAUGGAGAUAAGAAAAGGAUAUGUAUUGUGGUGUUUCAGUGUGUUUCUUUUUUUGAAUAAAGUUUAUUUUUACCUAAUGCAUGCACAUUUUAGGAGGGAAAAAAGAAAAUAAAAGGGAGGAGGCAUAACCAUAUCUGAUUCACCUGUACUUCUUUUAUCCACUUCAUGUAUUGUAUUUGUUGUUUUUUGGAAAAUAAUUUAAAUACGUUAAAGUGUCCAUAGAUUAGGUGUACAAUUCAGUGAAACUUAACACAUGUAUUUAUCUGUAUAACCAACACCCCAAAGAGGUUAGGUAACAACUGUAUUGCCCCAGAAAAUUCCUUUAUUCCAGUCAAUUCAUUUUCCCAAGGCAACCACCAUUCUGGUUUCUAUCACCAUACAUUAAUUGUGUUGUUCUUGAUAUGAGUAGAAUUAUAU